rnacentral:sRNA from 1 species
UUCUGCGAUUGUUUGGGCGGGCAGCUCAAUACAUUUCUAGUCGAAUAGAGAAAAUUACUAGGUAGUCGUAGGACGUAGUUGGUAGAUGGUAGUUAGUAGU